AAACUCCCGACCCGAUAAACCAUAGCAAGGAGUCGGUAUCCAGCCUUGGACACAGAGCCGUGAGGUGAGUGUUAAGCGUAGGCAGGAAAGAUUUAGAGCCAUAAGGCGAAAGCUUGAAUCGAUUUAGCGUCGUAAGCACCAACAAAGCGGUGGGCGAUACCCUCAUAUUGGUCGCAGCCAGCAAGAACCGUUCGUUAAUGCGAGAACGGGGAGACACCGCCGGCGUUUGAAAGAA
rnacentral:ncRNA from 2 species